rnacentral:misc_RNA from 1 species
AAUGUCAUGAGUAACUUCAAAGAAGCCCUUAGCACUAGCUCCUCUGGCAUGAACAACACGCUCCGGAAUUCGUUCCCUAUCAAACUGCGCAAUCUUCUCAACGAGAUGAUAAUCCUCAAGAAGAAUUGGUCCGCGGGAGCCAACGGUGAGCGAGUUGUUGUUGUUCCAAACCGGCGCGCCGGAAUUGGUGGUCCAGAACGGCGAAUUGUAGUUGCUCGAUGGGCGGUACUUGUAGGGAUCCAUGGCCGACGAGCCUCGCUCUCAAAAUUUGGGGAUAAGGAC